rnacentral:rRNA from 1 species
GAUGAACGCUGGCGGCGUGCUUAACACAUGCAAGUCGAACGGAAAGGCCGUGCUUUUGUGGUGUGCUCGGGUGGCGAACGGGUGAGUAACACGUGAGUAACCUGCCCUUGACUUUGGUAUAACUUCAGGAAACUGGGGCUAAUACCGGAUAGGAGCUCCUGCUGCGUGGUGGGGGUUGGAAAGUUUCGGCGGUUGGGGAUGGACUCGCGGCUUAUCAGCUUGUUGGUGGGGUAGUUGCUUACCAAGGCUUAGACGGGUAGCCGGCACGAGAGGGUGACCGGCCACCAUGGGACUGCGAUACGGCGCAGACUCCUACGGGAGGCAGCAGUGGGGAAUAUUGCACAAUGGGCGGAAGCCUGAUGCAGCAGCGCCGCGUGCGGGAUGACGGCCUUCGGGUUGUAAACCGCUUUCGCCUGUGACGAAGCGUGAGUGACGGUAACGGGUAAAGAAGCACCGGCUAACUACGUG